GGCAAGCGUUGUCCGGCUUGAGCUUGAUCCUGGCUCAGGACGAACGCUGGCGGCGUGCCUAAUACAUGCAAGUCGAGCGCAGGAAACCGGCGGAACCCUUCGGGGGGAAGCCGGUGGAAUGAGCGGCGGACGGGUGAGUAACACGUGGGCAACCUGCCUUUCAGACUGGGAUAACCCCGGGAAACCGGGGCUAAUACCGGAUGACCAGUCGGUUCGCAUGAACCGGCUGUAAAAGAGGGGAGUUUUCUCCUCUCACUGAAAGAUGGGCCCGCGGCGCAUUAGCUAGUUGGUAAGGUAGUGGCUUACCAAGGCGACGAUGCGUAGCCGACCUGAGAGGGUGAUCGGCCACACUGGAACUGAGACACGGUCCAGACUCCUACGGGAGGCAGCAGUAGGGAAUCAUCCGCAAUGGGCGAAAGCCUGACGGUGCAACGCCGCGUGAACGACGAAGGUUUUCGGAUCGUAAAGUUCUGUUGUGAGGGAAGAACACGUGCCGGUCAAACAGGCCGGCGCCUUGACGGUACCUCACGAGAAAGCCCCGGCUAACUACGUGCCAGCAGCCGCUAGUA
rnacentral:rRNA from 1 species